CACCAGACUCCUACGGGAGGCAGCAGUGAGGAAUAUUGGUCAAUGGGCGAGAGCCUGAACCGGCCAAGUCGCGUGAAGGAUGAAGGAUCUAUGGUUUGUAAACUUCUUUUAUAUGGGAAUAAAGUGAGGAACGUGUUCCUUUUUGUAUGUACCAUAUGAAUAAGCAUCGGCUAACUCCGUGCCAGCAGCCGCGGUAAUACGGAGGAUGCGAGCGUUAUCCGGAUUUAUUGGGUUUAAAGGGAGCGUAGGCCGGUCUUUAAGCGUGCCGUGAAAUUUUGUGGCUCAACCAUGAGAGUGCGGCGCGAACUGGAGACCUUGAGUGCGCGGAAGGCAGGCGGAAUUCGUGGUGUAGCGGUGAAAUGCUUAGAUAUUAGGAGGAACACCAGUGGCGAAGGCGGCUUACUGGACUGUAACUGACGUUGAGGCUCGAAAGCGUGGGGAGCAAACAGGAUUAGAUACCCGCGUAC
rnacentral:rRNA from 1 species